AGAGUUUGAUCAUGGCUCAGGACGAACGCUGGCGGCGUGCUUAAUACAUGCAAGUCGAGCGAGGUUACUGGAGUGGAGCCCUUCGGGGUGAAGCUGCUUUAACCUAGCGGCGGACGGGUGAGUAACGCGUGGGUAACCUACCCCAAAGUCCGGGAUAACAGCGGGAAACCGCUGCUAAUACCGGAUGCCUUUACCUUGGGGCAUCUUGAGGUAAAGAAAGGCAACGCUUUGGGAUGGGCCCGCGUCCCAUUAGCUAGUUGGUGAGGUAACGGCUCACCAAGGCGACGAUGGGUAGCCGGCCUGAGAGGGUGGACGGCCACACUGGGACUGAGACACGGCCCAGACUCCUACGGGAGGCAGCAGUAGGGAAUAUUGCGCAAUGGACGGAAGUCUGACGCAGCGACGCCGCGUGAGCGAUGAAGGCCUUCGGGUCGUAAAGCUCUGUCCUUGGGGAAGAAGGCGAAAGCUUGACGGUACCCAAGAAGAAAGCCCCGGCUAACUACGUGCCAGCAGCCGCGGUAAU
rnacentral:rRNA from 1 species